rnacentral:lncRNA from 1 species
GUAGUUUAGGGGAGGAUCAGGGCUUCGAUCUCGAACAUAUACAAUUGGAGGUGUCUCUUAGACAUCUGAGUAGAGACAUGGAGGAGGUGGAUGUGACAGGAAUCUGGGUGCAGGAGAGAGGUCUGGACUGGAGAAUGCUUAUCUGGUGUUGAUCACGUUAUAGAUUGUGUAAAGCCAUGAGACUGAGGAGAGUCCCACAAGAGUGAACAGAAAUACAAAAAAGCCCUCAAAUGAGUUCUGGGGACUCUCCAAAAUGCGAAGGUCAUGGAAUAAGGAGGAACCAACAAAAGAAACCCAGAAAGGAGUAGCUAGAGCAGUGGAAGGAAAGUCGGAUGUGCAGUAUUCUGGAAAUCUAAAGGAGAAAGUGAUUGAGGAAAGAAGUUGAUGAUUAUGCCCCAGACUAUUGAAAAUCAUGUACAAUGAGAAUGAAGAAAUGACUAUGGGAUUUAACAGUGUGGAGGUGACCUUAAUAAGAUCAGUUUUUGUGGAGUGUGGAGGUGAGAACAUGAUUGGGGGUGGUUCAAAGGGAAUGUUGGAACAAAUCUGGAUUCAGCAAGUAUGGAUAAAUCCUUUGAGUCUUGCUUUAAGCCAAGAGAAGCAGAAUUAAAGUCAUGUAACUGAAGGUUAAGAGCAGUUUGUUGGGAAUUCCCUUUGUGGCUCAGUGGUUAACAAACCCAACUAAGAUCCAUGAGGAUGAGGGUUUGAUCCCUGGCCUUGCUUAUGAGUUAAGAAUCCGGCAUUGCCAUGAGCCGCCGGUGUAGGUCGCAGACACGCCUCAGAUCCUGUGCUGCUGUGGCUGUGGUGUAGGCUGGUGGCUACAGCUCCAAUUGGGCCCCUAGCCUGGGAACCUCCAUAUGCCAUGGUGCAGCCCUAAAAUAGCUUAAAAAAAGGCAGUUUGAACUAAAAAAUAGAAAAAUGUUGACCUGUUUAUAGGUUGACAGGAAAGACCUAGUCAAGAGGAAAAGAUGUAGAACGAGACAGAGUAAUUAUGCAGUGCCUGGGAGAAAGGGCUUGUCUCUGAUGGAAGCAUGAACAGUUCACCCCCAGUAACAGGACUGAAGGCAGGGCACAUGGGCUCAGGUGUACAUAGAUGCGUCCACGUGGUGUUUUGUGGAGUAUGUGGAGUUUUCUUUUUCUCUUCUUUAACAUUUUAUCUUAAGUAUAAUAUAUGUAUAUAUUACAUAGAAAAUAUGUAAAAUACAUAUAUUUUAAUAUACAUAUUUUCUAUUACAUAAUAGAGCAGGACAAAAAUCCCCAAUAGCCCGGUAGUUUUUACAAAGUGAACGAACUGGAGUUCCUGUUGUGGCUCAGUGGAAAAGAACCCGACUAGUAUCCAUGAGGAUGCAGGUUUGAUCCCUGGCCCUGCUCAGUGGGGUUAAGGAUCCUCAUUGCUGUGAGCUGUGGUGAUGUAGGCUCAGAUCCCAUGUUGCUGUGGCUGUGGCCUAGGCUGGCGGCUACAACUCCGAUUAGACCACUAACAUGAGAACUUCCCUAUGCUGUGGGUGUGGCUGAAAAAAAAAAAA